UUAGAUUUGUUGCCAGAAGGAGAUGAACAAAAACAACUAGGUCUAAUUAGACGGUGGGGCAGCACAAUCAUAUAAACUUAUGAAAACAAGUUCUCGUGUUAGCAUGAGUAAGGCAAGGUAAAACAAGAGAAGGUAACAUGCUACUCCUCGACCCCGAAAGGUACCUUCUAUGAGAAAUUGGAAGAUGUCUCCCUUUUUUACACUUGGGUCAUUGAGAAAAGUGCGUGGUCCAGUUUGCUUGCAAUGUCCCCGAAAACUGGCAAAGCAACUGAGUAUGAAGAACACAAUAGAAAAUCCUCGGCAAUAGAUGAAACAAAGGAACCCUCUUAUUCAAUUCCUAAUUUGUUGAUACCACCAACUACACAACCCUAAAAAUAACAAAAUUUUAAAUCUUUAACUAGAAAUAGCACAAACCUACAAACAAAAACCAAUCCAAGACUAAAAAUUAAGUUUUCUAUGUAACUCUAGUUUAUAUUUGCAAUUAAGUUUUGAAUUUUAAUAAUAUUUGCAUUUAAGUAACAAUAUUUCAUUCUAAUUAUGUUUUUAAUUCUAAGCAGUUGUAAGAGAAAACAAAGGAGAGGAAAAUACUCCAAUUAAGGUAUUUUCCAACCUCAAAAUUGUUAAACUUGGUUUUUAUGUGUUCAAUUGACAAAGGGAUUUAUUUGAUGGUGAUAAAAAGCCUUAACAUAGCAGAAGAAAGAAGAUCAAGAAUUCAAUAAUAUAAAGAUUUUUUUAUUUGGUUGGGUUUUAAAGGUUUUUUUGGCUAAUUUAGAUGUAUUUUAAGAUUGAAAAUGAGUUUAUAGAGGUCGUUAGCAUAAUGUUUUAAUGUUUGGAGGGGAAAAUGAAAGAUUUAAAUUUGCACGACCAAAACUAUCAGUUUAAAAUUAAUAAAUUGCCACAAUUUUGUUUUGUUAAAAAAAAGCUAGCUGCUGAAAAUCUUACCCUAUGUUAAAAAAAAGAACCUGACCAUACCCGUAUAAAAUAAACUACAAAUUAAUGACAUAAUUAAAUGAGUCUUAGACCUGAAGAGAGAAAGAAAAAGGUGAUGGGUGGGAUCAAUUUUUUAGAACAGGGCUUCACUAGGAGAGGAAGUGCUUGUUACAAGCAUUUCAAUUUUAACUACGAGAGUGUAAUGGGACAUGUGGAAGUGGAUCUCUAAAAUUGGUGAUGUUUUGCAAACCCAUGAUAAGUGUAACAACCCGGCUGUACGACUUGAUCAAUAUUAAAAGAUUCCAACAUAUUCUCUUAAUUUGAGGGUAAAUUUUUUUAAAAAAAAUCUACCAAAAAUUCGGUAGAGUCACUACCAGAAAUUCGCUAAAUACCAACGGAUUUACAGACGGAAUAUUUCUGUCGGUAAUUUGAGGUCGAAAUUACCGACGGACACUUUUCCGUCUGUAAUUCAGUCGGUAACUAUCGACGGACCAUUUUCCGUCCGUAAUUCAGUCGGUAACUACCGACGGAAAAUUUCCGUCGGUAGUUACCGACUGAAUUACGGACAGAAAAGUUUCCGAAUUAAAAAAAAAGGCAGGUCGCUGACGUGGAGGUUUUGGCGGGUUAUUUUUUUCUGACAAAAUCACCGACAGAUUCAAAACGACAGCCCGUACAGUGACGUGAUAGGUUCGCCGUUUAAAUUGCCGACGGACUCACCGAGGGAUUUGAAAUGGCAGAUCCGUACGGUGAUGUGUCUAUGUGUCCGUCAGAAUCACCGACAGAGUGUCCGUCCGUGAAACCAUCGGAAAAAGUUAAUAUAUGUACAUGUCAGCUCUGCUGACCCUCUCCUCCCCUAUUUCUCCUUCUUCUUCUUAAUCCCAACUCUCCCCAUCUGCAAACAACCAGCCCCCACUCCCCCUCCCCCCAAAAAACAAUCUUCCUCAUAUCAGCACAACAAGUUAUAUUUCUUGAAGUUUUGUAGUCACAGCAUCCGUGUUCUGAUUUACCGACGGAUUUUAUCAAUUUUUGUAAGUAAUUCUAUCUUUUUAAAUUUUAACAUUUAAUUAAAUGUCAAUUUUAUUGUUUUUUUAGUAUAUGUAUUUUGUUAGUAUAUGAAUUACAUGUGCUAUUUUGAAAUAAUUAAUAGCUUGCUUAAUGGGUCCGUUUAAAGUUUUAUCAAUGGUAUUGCGGACUGGUAAUUUCUGUAAAUUUAUAUAUUUUAAUUCGUAUGGACGUUGAUAAAUAAUUAUGAAUAUUUAAUAUUUAUGAGAAGUUGUGAUUGGUUUGUUGGAUAAUCUCGAGGUAAAGUAAUAUUUUUGCAAGUUUAUUUACCUAACUUAGUUAAUUAAUACAUGAUGUCAUCAUAAUUUUAUAGAGGUUCGAUAUAGGUCAUGGAUGAUCGUUCAUGGAUGUAUCGAGAUUCACCCCAAGGAUUGCGGAGGAUGGAUUAUUGUAACGGGGUUCAGGGUUUUAUGAAUUUCGCAACAUCUAUUCCUAGAAAUUUUCGUGAUUUGUUGCCAAAGGGAAUAUGGGAUGCACUCACGGAGAUCAGUCAUUUCUUCAGAGAUAUAUGCUCCAGCAAGUUGAAUGUUGAUCACAUUGAGAGGCUUCAAACGAAUAUCGUCGAGACACUAUGCAAACUUGAGAUGAUAUUCCCUCCAUCAUUUUUUGACUCAAUGGAGCAUCUCCCUGUACAUCUACCGUUCGAGGCAAAAGCUGGAGGACCGGUCCAAUAUAGAUGGAUGUACCCAUUCGAAUGGUUAGAUAUUACCGUUGCAAUGUAAUUCAUAUAUAAAAGUAUUUUAUAUGUUUUUCUUAAUUGAAAAUACUUGAUUAAUAUUUCAAUGCAGGUACUUGUUUAAUCUCAAGAAAAAGGUUAAGAACAAGGCGCAUGUUGAGGCUUCGAUAUGUGAGGCCUAUAUUGUUGAGGAGAUCUCAACAUUUAUCUCGUACUAUUUCGAACCUCAUCUGAGAACGAGAAUCAAUCGCGUUCCAAGGCAUGAUGAUGGCGGUGAAGUGCCUUCUAGUGGGAACUUUUCAAUAUUCUCAAAUACUGGACGACCCACACCUAAAAAUGCUGUAAGAGGAAGAUAUUUGACAGAAAUAGAGUUCAAACAAGCACACAACUAUGUUAUAUUUAAUUGUGAUGAGCUGAGACCUUUUAUUCAGUAAGUUUAUACUAAUUAAACUUUGUUAGUAAUAUAUUGUUAAUUAUAUAUUGUAAUAUCAUACACUCAUUAUCACUUGCAGGCAACAUCGUCAAUAUUUGCUCUCCAAUAACUCACAGCUGACCGAAUCCCAGAUCUUUCAAUUACAUGAUGAGCAGUUUGUCACGUGGUUCAGAACACAUGUAAGCACUAUCACAAACUCAUUCUAACUUGCAAAAUUACUGUACGUAUGCAUGUCAUUACGAGAUUCUCGUUCAUUUACUGUUUAUUGAUGUACAUUACAUACAAGGUUUAUCAAAUGGGAAGGAGUGCACCUAAGUCAUUGUCUUCACUAAGCCUGGGGCCUGAAAGAAAAUGUAAGUGCUACAACGGGUAUUUUGUCAAUGGAUAUGUUUUCCAUAAUGAAGAAUACGGGCAAGGAAGAAAGACAUACAACAGCGGUGUUUGUGUUAAGGGAUCCACUAGUAGUGAGUUAGAAGUUGACUACUAUGGUAGAUUAGAAGAGGUUGUCGAACUGCAAUAUCAUAACGAGCAGAAUAUAGUGUUUUUAUUCAAAUGCUAUUGGUAUGACACGACUGACAGAGGAAUCAGAGUUGAUCUGCACUAUGGUCUGGUCGAAAUCAACUCAAAACCUAGACUCCGCAAUAUAAACGAUGUCUUUGUUUUCGCAAAGCAAUGUCAACAAGUUUAUUACACAUACACCCCUUCAUUUAGAAAGGAUCGAUCAAGAGUGGAUUGGUUGUCCAUUUUAAAAACGAAACCCUGGGGUCGUGUCGAGGUUGUUCAGGAUGAGAACGAAGACACAAGUCUGCGAGAUGAAGUCUUUCAAGUUAGUGAAGUGGUUAAACCAUAUCGAGUUGCUCCUUCGAUUGAAUUGGAAGAAAAUUCAAAUUUUCGUGUUUUCAAUGAUAGUCUUGUUGAUGUUGACGCAGAGGAGUUGAAUUUUGUUGCUGUCCAGACAUUUGAACUGUUGAUGUCCAACCGUUGCUGUCUAGACAUUGAACUGUUACUGUCCAACUGUUGAUGUCUGAACACUCAUCAUAUUUUUAACUAUAUCUAAAGUUCUAGAACUCCAUUUUAAGUGACAUUGAUCUCAUUGCAAAGCUAAGACACGAGACUACAAGUUCUCUGAAAGAAGGAGAACCCAGUUCUACCUCCAAGAUAGUCAAAAUUGCUCAUCAACUAAUCAGUCCUACUGCUCUACAGAAACAGUCAUGACUCAGUCUCGGUUGGUAACCCAUAACUGGAGUUCUACAUCUCCAAAUUGAGCAAGAAUAAUUUUCUUGGUUAGCUAACAUCCAAAUCUACAAUUUCUAUGAAGGAACCCGAUCCUAAUUCCCUCAUCCUCCUACCUGAAAUCUCACUGAAAAUUAAGAGACAAGUCUAUCCAGAUUCGUCACCCCCUUCCCUUCACACAAUACUUUCAUAAACUACAUACCACACAUGAAUUAACUUAAUUUUAAUAAUAUGUACUUUUACCCCAAUUCAUGUCUAAGAACCCUAACCUAUAAUUCAAUAUCAAGGCAUCAAUUCAUUAUCGAAUUUGAAAUGAAUUUUUAAGAUCAUGUUUAGAACACCUUACCCGGUACGAAUUAAGAUUUUGAUCUUCAACCAGUUGAAGAUUUUCAACUCCCUCCUUUUUUUUUCUUGUUCAAUUUCUUGUUAAUUCCUUGCUCACAAGUGUUUAUCUCAUCUAUAAACCCUUAAUCUUGGAUGGGUUCUUGAAAUUUUAGUGUUUCUCUCUUGAUUUUGCAAGAAUGGGUAUAAAACUCUCUAUUUUCUCUCCUUAUGGUUCCUGCAGAUUUUUGGUGAGAAGAGAGUAUUUAUACUCUAUAAUUUCUCUUAUUUGCAUUUAGGUCUCAUUUCCUUUAAGUGUAUUGUUCUCUUCAAUUAAAUCCAACCCUCAACAUUACCGGUUUAUUAUAAUGUCUCGAAUUAUUUCGCCAGGAAAUUAUAUUCAAAAAUUUUUGAAUUCCUGUCUUUUAUUUAACCAUACGCAUGAAUUUCUUCACUUUUAUUUCUCACGUAGUUAGUUUUUAAUUUAAGCAACCUUUAUUUAUUUAUUUUUUCCGGGAUUUACAAUAAGAGAAAUUAUGUUGGAAUAGAGAGAGAGAGAGAUUGUGUUUGAAAAGAUAUAAUUUUUAUAUGAUCUUGGGUGUUUUUGAUAUGUAAUAUACAAGGAUAAUUUGGUCUUUUUAUUUUAUUUGAGAAAUUAUUUAGACCUAUAAUGUAAACUAUAAUUUUUAAAAAAGUAUAAGCAAAGUAAAAAAAAAAAAAAAAAGAACUAAACUAUAAUCAAGUUCAUCGAUGUCCUCGCCAACGAUGAACUUGAUUCACCUGGUGGACCAGACAAGUCCGAUGGUGAUCUUGUUACCAUUGAUAGUGUCAAGAUUGAGUUUGUCGUUGAUUGAUCAUGAUGAUGAGCAGGGUUGUGCUAUCACUUUUUUUUUUUAAUCCUGUUUUCUCUUUCUAUGUUAGUAUUCAGUGAGUUUUCUCUUUUUUUUCUUUCAAUUUAAAUACGAUAAUGAUUUCUUAGAUUUAUUCCCCCCUAGAAAAUAAAAAAUAAAAAGUUCAAAAGAAAUCAAUUGUGGUUUCUUUUCUUUAUAAAAAAAAAUCCAUCUUCCUCUAAACUUUUAUGUGUCUGGCUGUGCACCGGGCGAGGUGAGCUUGUAUAGAAAUAUAAGACCUGAAUUGAACAUCUAUCUUAUUCAAUAUAGUAGAUGUAUACGACCUGAAUUAAAUCACCUUGUUCAAAAUUCAAGCACGCUAACCUUAUUAACUUAAAUGUUUUUUUUUAAUUAAAACAUUUUUAUUUUAGAUUUUUUAAAAUGAAAAAUAAAUAUGAUUUUUUAAAAAAAUCUAUUUUUUCAUAAACCAGCUUAAACUAGAUUUCAAAUUAAAAUUACUAAGUUAACCUGAGGUCUUAUAUGACUAGGCCUAUCUGGACAAACAAAAAGUAAAGGACAAAAGUUAUGGGAUGGAAAAGAAAAGGAGAGGACAAAAUGUAUCUUCCCCGUUAAAUUUAUAAUCAUCCUUAGCUUAAAUGUAUUUACCUUUACCAUACUAUAAUACAUUAUCAGGAGUAAAUUAGUCUUGUAUCCUUAAUGUCUUGAAAUAUUUCUUGAGGUUUAUUUUUAUUUAAUUAUUUUACAAUUUUAUAUAUAUAUAUAUAUAUAUAUAUAUAUAUAUUAAGUAAGUUAGUUAUUCUUUUUUUACUCAUGUUUUUUACCAAAAUAAUUUUUAUUAGUAGCGUGUUUGUUUAAUUAAAACUAUAGGUAAUUAAAAUAAUUUCUCUCUCUCUCUUUUUUCUUUUCAGUAUCCUAGAGGCGGCUUGAAAUCCGUGUUCAUGCUUUUUCUUGUUUUUAUUCUCUUUGGUGAGUUUCAAUUUUUCUCUGCUAUCAUAAGUUCAAUUAAUGGGCCCUAUCCCAUUGUUUUCUUUAAAGACUUCAGUAGAUUUGUGACGCCUAGUUAAAGGUCGGAAGAAAUAACUUGCUUUCUCUAUUCAAUAAAAUAAAAUAAUAAAAAAUAAAAAAACCUCUCUCAUUCUUAUCCACGAAGGAAAUGGACAAAAGAUAUGGGGUGGAAAAGAAAAGGAGAAAAGAGAACUAUAUAUAGCUUCUCCAUUUUCAAAUUUAUAUUUUUAUAUUUUCAUAUGCAAAUAUAAAAAUAUGUUGUUAUUAAUUUAUACUUUGCCUUUGAGCAUGGAUAAUACAUUACAUUUCAUGGAAUCGUUACUUUAAUUAAAAACCCAGCAACACCGUGAAGGAAAAAAUAAUAAUAAUAAUAAUAAAAGCAAGAAGAAGAGGAAUAAGAGUGCAAGACCCCGAAAGGUACUUCCUACCUCGUGAAUGAUCUUAUGAGAAAUUGGAAGAUCUCUCCCUUUUUUACACUGACGCCGCGCUUGAUCAUCGCAGGUGGGUUUCCUAAUGCGGCGGUGGACGAGGAGUGUUUCGAUUGAAAAAGAGGAGGUUUUUCCUUCUACUUUUAAGAGAGAAAAAAAAAAGCAAAUUUUAUAAAAUUCUCAUUGCAAUGGACAGAUAAAUAGCCAAUUUUCUACACCUCUCGCCUGUACUACAACAUGAUAUACAGUAUAAUUAGUACAAAAACGCAAGGCAGUACUAUGUUAGAGGUUUUUUGUUUCUUUUUUUCUUUUUU
rnacentral:lncRNA from 1 species